CCCAGACACAUUGGAAUGAAGCCAUUUCAAGUUUACUCUCACUUCCUUCAUUCAACAGGUACUGACCAACCACAGCGCAGCUUGAGAGCGUCACAUGACCAAACUCAGGCAAAGCUCACUCGAUAUGAUACGAUAAUCUGCCAGAGACAUCCAAUCAUUGGUCCUUUGCUGACUUUGCGAGGAAGAGUGGUAAAAUUUUCAA